rnacentral:lncRNA from 1 species
GGCAGAUGCCCUCCUGGGCAGGCCGAGAUGCUGCACACAGCAGGAGCCAGACAAACCCCUGAGACCACAACUUUGGAAGGAGUAGCAGAUGAAUGGGGGCGGAGCCCAGAGGAGCAGCUGGAGGCGGGGCCAGCACUGGGCCAGGAAGCUGGGAGACAGAGCUGUAACCUGUUGGGCUCAGACCUUCAAGCAGUUCCCACAGGAACCAGGAGCGCAACACUGAGGGAUGCUAAGCGAGAUGGAGACAGGAAGAAGCCCAUCUGUUCCUGCAAGGUAGCAUCAAAAGACGAUGGCAGAUUAGCACGAGGGCCUGGACCCACCCCUUCAGGAUCCAGUACUCCAGAAACUGCGAAGGCCCUAGACAGUUGCAUUCCAGCAAGGACACAGGAUGGUCAGAGAAAUCCACAUUUGUCCCGGAAAGCCAGAACAGUGUCCACAAGAGCCACCGCCACCGCCACCUCCUGCUCCUCCCCCAGGGAGACUCUAGGAAAGAGAGCACUUUG